rnacentral:lncRNA from 12 species
GGUGAGAAGGUGGAGAAGAAACAACAGCUGAGAAGAAUACCCUGGAAUGUAUCUGCUCUCAUCACAACAAAUAGCCUUAUAGUUGGAAUGUUAAUGGCAAAUUCAUUACACUGAAUAUUGUUUGCUACGCUCGUCCUUAAUGAAUGCAUUCAUUUGCUCGUUCGACAACUCUAUGAGAACUCUCAUAUAGGGCAAUAACUCUGCUCUGUGAUGGGAAUGUAUUUGUGAAUAGAAGCCUUUUUGGCUUUCCCUAUGGGGGAAAAAAAUCCUGAGCCAGUUAAUCAGGCUUGCCCUGGUAUUGCACCUGCAUUUCAAUCAGAACUCUGUAACUUAUUACCUGUGUGACCUUGACAAUUGAUAUACCUUUCCUCUUUGAGUGCUGGUUUUCCCAUCCAAUAAAAGGGUGUAAUAACAGGACUUAAGUCAUGGAUUUGAAUAUGAAGUGAGAUAAUCCACGAGUUUGAGCAUCUUUUCACAUAUUAGCCACUCACAUUUUCCUUUCUUUGGUUUGCCUAUUCUUUUCUUUUGCCAAGUUUUUGACUGGGCAAUCAAUUCGGUCUCUGAGUUUGUAGUUGUAGUGUUUGUGAGGCUAUUUGCAUGUUUACCUUUUUUCCUUUUCUAAAUAUGGCCUGGCUGAGAGGAGGAAGGAAUGAUGGUGACAGAUACACUGUAAUAAUAUAUUAUGCUGGAUUCCACCUUCUCUGCUUCGCCAUUCUACGAAAAUGGGAUCCAAGUGUCUUCAGAAUCUUGUCUAAAGAUCUUAUGGAAGAAAGUGAGGUUGGAGAUGAAGACGUGGAGAAUGUAGAGAAAUUUUCUUGAAGUUGCACCUGUGGAUCUGAAUUUCCUGACAGGAUAUCUGUUGCAUUGCAAAGGAACUGAAGAAAGACAUAAAGAAAUGGUUCAAGGGAGAUACUCUUCUGAAUAAACUGAAAAGGAGGUAGGUAGGAGGAAAGGGA